UUCUAUAUGAAACGUGUUUAUUUUUUCUUUCAAAAUCAGGGACGCAGAUAUGGUGGUGCUGAUGACACUUCUUCUGGUGAAACUCUGGAUCCACAGACAGGAAAGGAAAACCUAGAACAACAAUGAGACUUUUGCAAAAUUAGGGCUUUUUCCAAUACAGUGGUUGUAUUAAAUGUACAGCUUUUCAGAAGUUCGGUUUCUCAAAAAAAGGGUUGAUUGUUUACAAAGGUUUCUCAAAAAAGGUGGCUUGUUAAAAUAGGUCUCAAAAAGAUUUAUUGCAAAGGGGUCUCAAAUGAUUUGUUGCAAAAGGGUCUCAAAUGAUUUGUUGCAAAAGGUCUCAAAGAUUUAUUGCAAAGGGUCUCAAAGAUUUGUUUCAAUAGGUCUCAAAGAUUUGUUUCAAUAGGUCUCAAAGAUUUGUUUCAAUGGUAUCAAAGAUUUGUUUCAAUGGUAUCAAAGAUUUGUUCAAGGAUUGUAUUAGUAGCCAGAGUGGGAUAGAAGGGGGAUAGAAAGGCAGAGUGGCUUUUCAAUCAGAAAGAGUGGUAGAGGAGACAGG